UACGUAGGGGGCAAGCGUUGUCCGGAUUUAUUGGGCGUAAAGCGCGUGUAGGCGGCUUGGUAGGUCAGCUGUGAAAACUCGAGGCUCAACCUCGAGCUGUCGGUUGAAACCACCUUGCUAGAGUCCGGAAGAGGAGAGUGGAAUUCCUGGUGUAGCGGUGAAAUGCGCAGAUAUCAGGAAGAACACCAAUGGCGAAGGCAGCUCUCUGGGACGGUACUGACGCUGAGACGCGAAAGCGUGGGGAGCGAGCAGG
rnacentral:rRNA from 1 species